AAUAACCUGGACCCAUAAAAAAGAAUACAGGGUCUUCUGAUUACUAUAUAAUAGUUAAAACUUUCAACAACGGAUCUCUUGGUUCUGGCAUCGAUGAAGAACGCAGCGAAAUGCGAUAAGUAAUGUGAAUUGCAGAAUUCAGUGAAUCAUCGAAUCUUUGAACGCACAUUGCGCCCCUUGGUAUUCCGGGGGGCAUGCCUCUUCCAGCGUCAUUUCACCCCUCAAGCUCUGCUUGGUUUUGGGCCGCGCCAGCAACGGCGGGCCUCGAAAAUAGUGGCGACGCCAUCGUGCUCUCAGCGUAGUAAUUCUUCUCGCUGUUGGGUCCCGGUGGUUGGUCCGCCAGCAACCCUCAACUUUCUUAAGUUUGACCUGGGAUGAGGUAGGGAUACCCGCUGAACUUAAGCAUAUCAAUAAGCGGAGGAACAG
rnacentral:rRNA from 1 species